GAACCAUUUCUUACAGAGGAAGAUUGUACAUUGUCGCAUAUGUAUUCCACUGUACAGGUAAGUUAAUAAACAAAGGUAUACAAGAGCAUAUAAACUAUACACAAAAUAAUUAUUACAUAUACAUUAAGGUAUUCAUAAAUGAGAAAAAGACACUGAGACAAUACAAAACAAAUUUCAUUGAGAUGAAACUAAUAUAUAGAAAAGUCAAAAUGUACAGAGAAACUGAGUGAAUGCAGUUAUAUACAAUACUUAUGAGCAAUUAUGAUUUCAACAAGCAAAAACUCUCUCUGAAAAUUACAACAGAGAGAAAUUUGCAAUUAAUAUGUGAUCUUUUCCUUACUUUGCAGUGCCCAAAGCCAAGAACAGACUCGACCCUCUCAACCACAACUGCACUUGCACAUGUGACUUGUACAAAAAUAUACAAACUCUGAAGAUGCAGGAUAUUUGAUUAUGUACUGAUACUCUGGCAGGAUUGUCAGUAAUAUGCAGUGUUAGUACCUGGUGAGAAGGUCUCCAGCUGUCAUUCGAGAAUUGAGUUUGACUGGGUAAUUGGUCUUGUUGAACUGCGGUGCCGACACUCUGAGCACUCCCUCCUGGUAGUCUACUUCAUUUUCAAUGGGCCGCUGGAUUGUCUCUUUACUUUUACGGGACAACAGCAGGCGACGCAUCUUUAAUGCACACACCAAAAAGGAGUGUAGUUGUGUUGUUUGAGGGCCUCAGCUUGGUAUUGGCGGCGUAUCUGAGCUACCAAGCGGUGUGGGACCGUCCACAGGACAUCACGCACACAGCUCCAGGAGGGCAUGGAGAGUGUCGCGGUGUGGUGAUGGCAGCAGUAGGAUCAACAUGCAGACACAGAGAUGUCAACUACAAGGCACUGGUAGAGUAACUAUUGCAAAGUUAUCAACAACCUGGCUACAACAUGUCACUCAAACUAUUUCCUUCAGUCUUGUUUUUAUUCUGGUAACUAAUGGGACAAGAGUGAUGAGCAUGGAGAAAAGUUCAAUCAAGAUGUUGCAGCAGUGGCAACACACUACAAAGUUUUCUCCACCGGUGAUGAAUAUUGUGCUCUGUGAAGAGAAUAUCAAGCUCCCAAAAGGGCUAAAGAAGUCAGUUUAUGAAGGGCAG